AGUCAAUGAUCGAAAGAUUGAUCUAGUCACUUAGAAAGAUGAAGCUUAUGAUAUUAAUUAUUAAUAAAUUUAGAAAUAAAUAUAAUUAAUAAUUAAAGAAAAAAUAAGAAUGAAGAAUGUAAAAUCUGAUUAACUAAAAUAAAUAAUGAUAUAAUUAGUUAAUUAUGUCUCAACAAAGAUCAGUGCCAGCAGUUGCGGUUAGACUGAGGAGGCUUACGUUAGUCGGUAGUUGGCUUAAAGGAUCCGCAGGUUAUAUAAUUUAAUUAUAUUCGAGUUUAUUAUUUGAUUUAUUGAAUAAUUAUAGGUAGCAAUAAUAUGUACUGAUAAUAAUUAGACAUUUCAAAUUGAAAAUUAUAAUCUUUUAAUAAACUGACACUCAGUGGAUGAGGAUGUGAGUAGCAAACCGGAUUAGAUACCCGAUUAGUUCACAUUGUAAACUAUGAACACUAUUGAUUAAUUAAUUAUUAUGUUACCAUUCAUUGGCUUUAAUAAUUGAUUCAAUAUAAGUGAAAACUUAAGUGUUCCGCCAGAAGAGUAUAUUCGCAAGAAUGAAACUCAAGACGAUAGACGGUUACAGGUAUACGCAGUGGAUUGUGUUAU
rnacentral:rRNA from 1 species